GACGAACGCUGGCGGCGUGCCUAAUACAUGCAAGUCGAGCGGACGGAUGGGAGCUUGCUCCCAGACCGUCAGCGGCGGACGGGUUAGUAACACGUGGGCAACCUGCCUGUAAGACUGGGAUAACUCCGGGAAACCGGGGCUAAUACCGGAUAACUCUUUCCCUCACAUUAGGGCAAGCUGAAAGAUGGCAUCUCGCUAUCACUUACAGAUGGUCCCGCGGCGCAUUAGUUAGUUGGUGAGGUAACGGCUCACCAAGGCGACGAUGCGUAGCCGACCUGAGAGGGUGAUCGGCCACACUGGGACUGAGACACGGCCCAGACUCCUACGGGAGGCAGCAGUAGGGAAUCUUCCGCAAUGGGCGAAAGUCUGACGGAGCAACGCCGCGUGAGUGAUGAAGGUUUUCGGAUCGUAAAACUCUGUUGUCAGGGAAGAACAAGUACCGGAGUAACUGCCGGUACCUUGACGGUACCUGACCAGAAAGCCACGGCUAACUACGUG
rnacentral:rRNA from 1 species